AAAAGAGGAGCUCAGGCUCAGAACUUCACAUCCUGUGAAAACGCCUGAGUGACCGACAUCGUGUCGG
rnacentral:sRNA from 1 species